UACGAAGGGUGCAAGCGUUACUCGGAAUUACUGGGCGUAAAGCGUGCGUAGGCGGUUUGUUAAGUCUGAUGUGAAAGCCCUGGGCUCAACCUGGGAAUUGCAUUGGAUACUGGCAGGCUAGAGUGCGGUAGAGGAUGGUGGAAUUCCCGGUGUAGCAGUGAAAUGCGUAGAGAUCGGGAGGAACAUCUGUGGCGAAGGCGGCCAUCUGGACCAGCACUGACACUGAGGCACGAAAGCGUGGGGAGCAAACAGG
rnacentral:rRNA from 1 species